rnacentral:lncRNA from 1 species
UUUAAAAGACCUCUCUGGCUGUCUUGUGGCAAACAGAACAUAGGGGAGCCAAGAGGAAGCAGGGAGGCCAGUAGAGACACAAGAAGGAAAGUCGCCUUGCCUGAGUCGUUGCAGGGGAAUCAGAUGGAUUCAAUAGAUGGAUUCAAAAUAUAUUUUGGAGAGACCUGAUCUGACUCUGUUGCCCAGGCUGGAGUGCAGUGGCAUGAGCAUAGCUCACUGCAGCCUCAAACUCUUGUGCUCAAGGGAUCCUCCCACCUCAGCCUCCCAAGUAACUGGAAUAACAAGGCGUGAAUCACUGAGCCCAGUUUUGGAUUCAGAAGCAGAUGGGACUCCUGAAAGGGCCUUUCUGAGAGUAUGGGAAAAAGAAUUGCUGCUUCUGGGGCCCGGAUGACCACAUGUGGCUCAGAGUUGGAAGGACACCAUUUUCCUUGGCUCUGCACAGAACCCAGCACCUCACCAGAGUUGCAGUGACUGGAAACCCAUGCAGCAUCAGUGAGCGCAUCCCUGGCGAGAACAUUCCAUUCUCUCGGUGCUAAUGAGGAUGCUCUAAUAGUCUGGUUUUGGCAGCAUUUGUAGAAAAAGAAGAAAUGGAAUGGAAGAAAGAGCAGAACAAAGGAAGCUCACUAACUGCUACUGAACUUUGCCUUGGGGUCACAUGGAAGGUACCUCUUUGUAGGACAGUGAGGGAAAGACUAGAAUCAGGAACCAUGAGCCUGUUCCUCCUUUUGUGGAAGCUGUGAGGGAAUAAGCAUUUGGAGUCACAGAUAUUUGGAGGAUGAAUGAAUGAACUAACCAAUGAAAAAUCUUUACUGUAAAAACAAUCUUUUUAGCACUCUAAGUGGUUGAUCUUACUUGGACUGAAUAUUAAAAAUUGGCCAAAUUAGCACCAAGAACAAGAAAUACAGUCUUUGAAAAUUAGAAAUUGGAACUUACUAGAGCAUAAGUGGCUGUUUUAAAAUGUUUCUGGUGGCACUUGGUUAUUGUUACCAUGUUUUUAACCUACAUCAUUGGGGUUUGAUCACUUUCUAACAUCAUCAUCUCUGAAACACACAUUUUCUAGUAAUUAUAAAACUGCAGCCUCAGGGGUAGCAAUCCUCAGCUCAGAGGUCCUAGGUAAAGUUCGGGGCAGACAGGACAUGCAUGUAUUAGAGAACCCAAGUCAGUGUUGUUUGAUAUAAGCAGGAAGGAACUAAGGGGGAAAGUGGGCUCACAUUUCUUUCUCAUUUUUGUCUUGAAUUCCCUGGUGACUUAAUAUCUGAGUUAGUUUUCACGAGGGAGGGAUGUAAAUGGAUGAGGAAUCGGCCCCAGUUUGGAUAGCUGAGCAAGUUCUCCUGAGAAACAGCUACAUGACCCUGCUAAUUCUGAUAACACAGUUCAGGGAAAUAAAAUCCAGGGUGUCUUUUCCCACAAAAAGUACGAUUUAUACAACUCUUGAGCAUUCAGCAUUAUCCUCUGGAAACUAGGAGGAUUCGUGCAACUUGAAGAGUUACAUAGGACUUACUAACCCUAGAGAGAAUAUUCUUUAUAUAGUUUUAUGAGGAUAUUUAUAAAAUAAUUAGGUCUUUAAUAACAUGGUCCUGAACUCUUAACUGUUUAACAAACACCUCGAGUUAAAUAAUUCAUACAUUAAUAGAUAUAUAGGACAAAUUUUAAUGCUUAAAGUAUUUGAAUCAAAUGACCCUAAAAGAAGACAGGUAUUUGAUCAAGCCAGGUAAAUACUGCAAUGGAUGGGGAGUCUAAGCACAGCUGUCUGGGUACCAGGCAAUUUCCUUGGUUCUUUAUAUGAAUUAUGUGAUGUGAAUUAUGUCCUGCAUAAAUGGUGACUAGAGGAACAAAGGUGUUAUAACUCAGAAAUUGCAUCAGUACAUUUUAUCCAGCACAUUGGAAUCGUCACCACAGAAUCAGCACAAAGCAAUUGUGGGCAAACUUAGAUACAACCAAGUAGAAAGUCUUAGCAAUUAAUAAUGAUUUUAAGAAAAUUUAAUGGGAGUAGCUGUUGAUUUCAUGGUUUAAAAAAUUGUGGGGCCAGGUGUAGUGGCUCACGCCUGUAAUCCCAACACUCUGGGAGGCCGAGGCAGGCAGAUUGCCUGAGGUCAGGAAUUCGAGACCACCCUGGUCCACAUGGUGAAACCCCGUCUCUACUAAAAAUACAAAAAUUAGCCAGGCAUGGUGGCGGACACCUGUAAUCCCAGCUACUUGGGAGGCUGAGGGAGAGAAUUGCUUGAACCCAGGAGGCAGAGGUUGCAGUGAGCUAUCACACCACUGCACUCCAGCAUGGGAGACAGAGCGAGACUCCAUCUCAAAGAAAAAAAAAUUGUGAGGCUGUCCACUAUUUUAAGCUACUGGUAAAGCAACAGUGUAGGUGAUGAAGCUGUAGAACUUGUUCCCCACCCUAAAGCAAUGAAUUUAUGAAGAAGCCCACACCAUGAGUCAGAUUUUUAUGAAAAUAGUCUCUCUUAAAACAAAUGUCCUCCAGGACCUGUGUCCUGGAGAAGAAAGCACUAGCUUAACAUUUUAAGAUUGCAAAGGAGUGACUAUUUUACCUGGUGUAAAUGCUAAGAGAAUUGUAAUUAUGCCAGAAUUUUCAUUAGGAUUGUUUCAUUUUGUUUUUGCUAUUAAUGUUCUAGUUAAAAAGAUCUAUGGUUUGAGUAGUCUGCUCUAUUCCUAGUUUUCUCAUGAGCAUCUUUAUUUUUAGGGCAAAAAUUCUAUUGCCCCCAAGGUUUUUCAGAAGAACACACAUGACCUUCUAUCAUCAAUGCCCAAAUUUUCACCUGAAAUCCCUCCUCAUAGUCUCCUAGAGUGAGUUAAUUCCAGGGCUGACAACAUUUGGGCUGUAGAACUUCUCUUGCCACUAGGAAAAGAUGGUUGCCAACAGUACACAGUGCCUACAGGAGGUGGGGAGCACAUUUUGUUAUUCUGCGUGAAGUUGCAGUAUAAAGUAUGAGGCAGCCUUAGUUACGAUCAAUGUUCAAAGGUUUUAGGCGUCUCAGAAUUUAAUCUUCCCAGUUCUUUUUUAUUGUUUUGGCAGUGCCAAUAGGUGGAUGAAGUUGGACCCUAAAUGGAUGCUACUGCGGUGACUGGGGCUUAUCUCAUACAUGCUGAAUCUUAUGCCCAUGCACUGUGAACUCUGGCGCCAUACAGAAAGCUGACAAAAAUGCUUCAUUCCCUCAGUUCAUGAUAUUCCACUCCUUUUUCUUUCUCAUUUCUGCUCCAAGAAUAUAAUCAAGGAUGAUAGCCAAUUUUACCUAUGAAAUAUACUGUCAAACACAGCAUAUUUUGUAUGAUAAAUACAAAACUUAGUUUAUGACAAGUAUAUUGUCAAGAUAGAAGACACUGCCCAAAGAAUUUUAAUUUUUGAAAUACAACAACAAAAGAUUUUUGACAGGGGGCAAAAACAGGAGAUGCCUUUCUUUCUAAUUUCCAUUACAUUGUUAAAUUAAGCCAAGAUGAUUACGGGAAUGCUUGAAUAUUAACAAUACAUGUAUUUUGUGGGUGAGGUGGCUGUCCACUUGUAAGAUAAAGUUGAUGAUUUGCUUCCAAAUAUAAAUGUAUGAGAUGAGCACACAAGGCACAGGUUCUUUCUUCUUUGGUGCUUAUUCCCCCCCAGUUAAGUUUUUGCAUUUUUUAUAGAGUUGCUAGAAUCACCAUUAACAUGCCUUCUUAUACCGUAGAUCAUUUAUAGAUAAUCAGCAUAAAAUAAUUUAUUCUUCAUAAAUAAUACCAAAGUUGUUUCUGGAUUUUCUUCUCUUAUUGCUUUUCAGAGCCAUGUAUAAUUCUCUAAUGGAAAUAAUUUAAAAUAUACCAAGGAUGUCUGUAAGUUAAAAGGAUAAUAUAGAAAUGGUUAUUGAAUCAGCACAUUAGCUGUUAGCCUUUCUAUUUGCUUAUCAUACAAUGGGAACUGCUGUUUACUUUUUAUUCUACAAAGGACAGGCCCACUUUCUGUCUCCAAACAGUUAAAGGAAUUAGAUGAGAAAUUAUCCCAAAUGAACUGUACACAGUUUGAUUAGCCUAGCUGCAGAGUAUAGUUUCUGAAAAAAGAGUCAUCAACACGCCGAGGUCAAAUGCAUUCUUACUGAAUAAUAAAUUGAAGCCCCAAAUGCUUUAUGCAGUAGCAUAUUAGUAUAUAUGAUUCUUGUUAGCAAUGCAGUAAGUAUUUUAAUUCGCUGAAUAUUUAGGAUGGGUUAUUUUAAAGCUGUCCCAUUUAACAUCACAACAUUGAAAACAGGUUCUGUGUAAAUAGGUCAAAAAUGAUAUUCAUAUAUAAAGGAGGACAGACUUUUUAAAUACUGAUAACAAUAUUGCUUGUUAAGAUCUUUAUGCCUUAAAAAGCUCCUUGGCAUAUAUGAUAUAAUGUCACUUUAUCCUCACCACAGGCCUGUCAGGUAUGCGGGAAAAACAUAUGUUUAGAUAUAAUUUUUGUAUCAUAAAUUGAUCUAAUGGAGACAUGUACUUUGUAACCAAAAAUAAGGAACAUAAAAAAGUAUACAAUAAAUACAUAUGUAUAUAUACGUAUGUAUACACACACACAUACGCACACACACAUAUGGUGUUUGCAGUUAAAUAAAGCACUUGAAAAUCAUAAGCAUAGAUCAAAUAUGUCUUUUGUUACUAUAUAAUAAAGUUAAAGUAGCCCAGUAUUAGAAAUAAAAAAAAAAAUCACACACAAGGGCAACAAUCCUUGAUUUCAGUGUUUCCAACCCUGGAAUAAUCUGGUACCAAAUGUUCAGCUUCCUUCCAAAUCAUUGGUCAAUUGUUGGAAUGUGUGUGAUGCAUGCAUGUGUAUGUGUGUGUGUGCAUGUAAAAAGCAAUCUUAUUUGCAAAAUAUGCCAAGGCAAAUAUUUUGAAAUGAAGUGGAAAAUCAAGGUGUUGUCCACAGAAUUUUGCAUUUUUAUCAAAAAGACCCUUAAGCAUUCCCAGAAACUGGCGCUUCCACAGUGCCAUGAGAAGUGAAAACAUGUUUUGACCCAAACUGUAGCCAUUUUAUUUCACUUCCAAAGUAUUAUUCUACAAUCUUUUUCACAAAUAUGAGAGUAACUAUAUUGUAUACAGGUGUAUUAUUCAUGUUUUACUGAAUUUUCAUAAGGAAUAAAAAUUUUAAAACAGAAAGGUAGAUCGAUCAUGUGAGGAGAUAAAACAUUCCCAUUCAACCGCAAAGAUAUUCCUAGGCAUUGAUCUAUGAGUACCACUCGACCGCAGGAAAUAUUUCCCGGCCCUGUCUUUAGAUAAUAUGUGGACAAAGAAGGCAAGAUAAGCUAGAAGCAUGUAGCAUUUAAUAGUUUAAAUGAUUGACACCGUGGGUUGCUAAGUUUCAUAGAUGCUUGCCUGAGUUCUUUACUUAUUAAAAAAUAAAUAAAUAAAUAAGUAGAAGUUAGCAAAACAAUAAAACAACAGAUGUGCAAGCUCAAAUUUAAAACCAAAGCCUUCCUUCUUCCCUUGUCUUUCCUCUUCCCUUUUCUCUGCCUGACUCCAAGCACACCUUUCCAGCUCAUUACUGCAAAUCAUUUGAAUUCCAGCACACAAUGUCACCUGCUCUGUAAUCUGAUUACUUUAUGGAGGAAUUAGUAUGUAUAUUUAAUGUAGAAGGGUUUUAAUCUUGAU